ensembl:lncRNA
CACAGACAGGUUUACAGGAAACCCCUGUGGCAAAACGGCAGGAUGACAGGAUCCUUGAAGAUGUCACGGCACACAGGGACAGAAGAAAUCCUCCUCUUGGAAAGAUGAACCAGAAACCAUUUUGUAAUGAAAUCACUGCCACUUCUCUGUAAAGAGAGCAGACAGUGACUUGUUAUCUAAUCAGAGCUUGUAAAUUCAGGGAAAUCAAGUGAGAGGGAGCCAAGAUGGCGUCGCUGUGAGAGGGAGCCAAGAUGGCGUCGCUGUGAGAGGGAGCCAAGAUGGCGUCGCUGUGAGAGGGAGCCAAGAUGGCGUCGCUGUGAGAGGGAGCCAAGAUGGCGUCGCUGUGAGAGGGAGUGUUUUCUCGCUCUUCAAAACAACAUUGAGGGUUAGGGGAGUUGACAGAGACCGAAGGGGAGACUAUAAGAGGAGGAACGUUGACGUGUACAGCGGACGUAUCAGCACAGCGUUG